UGGGGAAUUUUGCGCAAUGGGGGGAACCCUGACGCAGCGACGCCUCGUGAGUGAUGAAGUCUUUCGGGAUGUAAAGCUCUGUCGGCGGGGACGAUUAUGACGGUACCCGCAAAGGAAGCUCCGGCUAACUACGUGCCAGCAGCCGCGGUAAUACGUAGGGAGCGAGCGUUGUCCGGAUUUAUUGGGCGUAAAGCGUGCGUAGGUGGUUGAAUAAGUUAGAUGUUAAAGGCAUGAGCUCAACUCGUGUUCGCGUCUAAAACUGUUCGACUAGAGGACGGGAGAGGAAAGCGGAACUCACAGUGUAGCGGUGAAAUGCGUAGAUAUUGUGAGGAACACCAGUGGCGAAGGCGGCUUUCUGGACCGUUUCUGACGCUGAGGCACGAAAGCAUGGGGAGCAAAC
rnacentral:rRNA from 1 species